CUGCGCGGUCUAGUGACCGGUCCCCUCUGCGCGGUCUAGUGACCGGUCUCACUCCAGUGCCAGACUAACCUUGGUCAGCAGAAGGACUGGGCCGCAACACUGGCCGUUCCCUUUCGAAGGCCGAGCACACAC